rnacentral:rRNA from 1 species
AACGAACGCUGGCGGCAGGCCUAACACAUGCAAGUCGAACGAGAAGCCACCUUCGGGUGGUGGAUAGUGGCAGACGGGUGAGUAACGCGUGGGAACGUGCCUUUCGGUUCGGGAUAACCCAGGGAAACUUGGGCUAAUACCGGAUACGCCCUCCGGGGGAAAGAUUCAUUGCCGAAAGAUCGGCCCGCGUCGGAUUAGCUAGUUGGUGGGGUAAAAGCCUACCAAGGCGACGAUCCGUAGCUGGUCUGAGAGGAUGACCAGCCACACUGGGACUGAGACACGGCCCAGACUCCUACGGGAGGCAG